GCUAUCAAUAAAUACAAAAAAGGUUUGAAAAUUCAUUUGGUUCCAUGUUUUUAAAAAAAGAAAAGAAAAUUCUCUGAAAAGGAGAAUAGGAGAGCCUUUCCAGGUUUCUCCGACCUCUGUCAGACCAGACUCCGGUCACCGGGUUCAUGCGUCCACGCAAUACACGCGCCACCGUACACGACGGUUCGGAAGGUUCAAAACCUUCACUUUCCUUGGCGAAUCGCAGGUACCAUCGAGGAUCUCACGGCGAGGAGUGGGCUGGCGUUGAUCCGUGCGCCAAUCACUACGCGAUACAGAGCCUGGAAUCACGGCACUGAUGGAGGUGACGAUGACGGUCACUGGAACGGCGCAAAAAGGGUGUGAAGAUUGGCGUGCCUGCGGUGCAAAUUCUGGAACCUUCCUCUAGCGUUUGCGGUGCCUAGGGUUUCAAAAACCCUAGGUCUUCCAUCCUCUGUUUGUAAUUUGGGACUCCUUGGGCCGUGCCCAUUUGUGGGUUGGGUGUAACCGGGCAUAGGGUUCUUAGGCUACAUGGGUCUUGAGUCAUCAGGCUUUUAGGCCCAUUUGUAAACUGGACAUUACAACAUUUACAUUUAUUUAUUUAAUUUACAAAUUUCGUUUA